rnacentral:lncRNA from 1 species
GUCCUGAUUUUUUAGGAUAUCAAGAAAAGAGAGGAUAAGCGCCAAGACAGAGGGCAAUAGACUGCCCCUGUGCCCUUCAUACUGAAACCUUCCUAGAUUACUGAGAAUGGUCCUAAGAAAUCGGGUCAGAGGAUUACUAAUAUAUUUACAUAUAUAUAUUUUUUACCUCAUUAGCUGGUCAACCCAGGAGGCAAACAUUGCCACCCGUGCCCAAGCAACUGCUCCAAGGAGCUGACGGCGGUUGCCUGCAUCGAGUUCCCCGCCGGCGGCUCCUUCUGGCCGGACACCCUGUGCCAAAGAGCGCCCGGGGAAGCAGACAGCAAUAGGGGAGUACACAGAUGUCAUGGAUGCACAGGCAUGAUUGUAAUCUGACCAGAAAGGAGAGCGAGGCAAGGCGACCGCCGGCGGAUCCGAGUCGGGGAGCCUCGGCAAUUGGGCUGCCGGCAGUGCGUGCGCGCACAGGUGCCUCGGGCCGGCGGCGCCGGGAGCUAGCGCAGCCGCCUCUCGGCCUCAGCACUCUCACCAGCGUGCCGAAGACCCGGCUGCGGCCGAGCCUGGCCACCCCCAGCCCAAGCCGCGGGAGGAAGAGCCCAAGGAAAGGGCGCGAAGGGGGAAGGAGGGGAGGGGAGGGGAGGUGAGGGGAGGUGGGGGGGGGAAGAGACCCUACUCCUCCUCGCCGAGAUCUCCUCCCCGAGCCCUUCUGGUGGGAACCUUGGCGGGGCUCGCGCGCCCCCCCCUCCCUCCUCCCCACUCUGGGAGUCCGUCUCCCCUCUCCCCUUGCUCCCCCCCACCUCCCUUCUCUUCCCUCCCUCCCUGCCGCGUGCCUCGUCCCCUCCCCCUCGUCUCCCUCCCUCGCAGCGGCGGCAGCAGUAGCCGCUUCAGCAGAGCCGGAGAUGGGCAGAGAGCGCGCGCGGCGCAGCAGCUCCGGAUACGCCGCCCUCCCCGCCCGCAGCUCCCCGCUCCCCCGCCGCCGCUGUCGCCGCCUCGGCGUCCCCCGGCUCCAGUCUCGCUCCUAGGACAGCGCCGCUGCCACCGCUCGGCCCUGCCCGCCGCCUGCGCCGCGCAGCUCUCACUCGCUCCUGGAUGGCGCUUUCCACCCCGGACCGGUUUAGAAUGUAAUAAUUCAAGAAUUUUAUCAUCAAGUGGAAUAGCUUAACAACUGUCUAUGUGCUUCCCAUGAUAUGUUCUCUACAGUUCCUUUCCUUGUUGGAGACCCUGAGGUUAUAAAAUCUAUCAAAAGUGACUUGGAACUUACUGACUCUCGAUCCUGCUUCAAGAAGGCAGGGAGCUGGAGCUGCCUGCUGGUAUUUUGUGGGAGCUGGAGGUAGCAGUGGGCAGACUGUUAGCAUGUCAUUUCAGAACACUGAAUGCUUUUUGACACAAAAUACCACUUUAAUACACAAUAUGUGGUUCUAAAGCAGUGCUUUCUGAAGAAAAUGUAAUGUGAGACACAUGUGAUUUCAUUUUUCUAGAGGUCACAUUUCAAGUAAAAAGAAGCUGGUAACAUGGGUGUUAGUAAUAUAUUGUAUUUAACCUUAUAUAUUCAAAAUACAGUCUUUUUAACAUAUGAUGAAUGUAAAAAAUAUUAAUGGUCCUUUUAGCAUUCUUGUUUUAAUAUUGUCUUUCAAAUCCAAUGUGUGCUUAUAGUACAUCUCAAUUUUGAUACUAAAUUUUUACUGGGUAUACUUGAUCUAUAUUUUGAUUUAAUAAAAUUUACAGUUGAUAAAGAUUCACAAAGCCAAGUUGUCCCAUACAUAAAAGUUUUUUUUCAAUAACUAAAUUGAACAUCAGUUUUUAAACCUAAACAUAUAUACUAUUGAUACUAUGUAUAAAAUAGGCAAUGGAUGGGAACAUAUUGUAUAGCACAAGGAACUCUACUUAAUGCACUGUGGUGUCCUAAAUGGGAGGGAAGUCCAAAAGGGGAGGGAAAUGUGCACAUGUAUGGGUGAUUCAGUUUGCUAUACAGUAGAAGCUAACACAACGCUGUAAAGCAAUUGUACUGCAAUACGAUUUAAUUCAUUUAAAAAAGAAAUAAAAUCAUCAAAAUAAAAGCCAUGGCUUCAGUCACAUUGGUCACAUUUUAUGUACUUGGCAGUCCUCUGUGGCUAGUAGCUGCCAUAUUGGACAACUUUUCCAGAGAACUGAUUUAAUGAUGUAAUUCUGCUACCUAAUGGAUUUUGUAGGCAAACCUCAGCACAUCAAAGGAGCAUAGAACUUCAAAAACCUUAAUGAGAAGUUAUCUGAUCCUAUACUUCUAACUUAAAAUAAAUUUUAUAGAACCAGCUAUUUAUGAGAAAUUAUGGGUAAUAAAAUAUACAAUGUGUAAACCUUCAAACUGUAAUACAUUGGAAUUUGUUCACUUUUUGUUUGCUUCAGUGUACAUACUCUUGUCACUAAAGGCAUUAUCUGAUCACAACCCUUCUUAAUUAAAAUGUGAA